rnacentral:rRNA from 1 species
GCUCCAGACUCCUACGGGAGGCAGCAGUGGGGAAUAUUGCACAAUGGGGGAAACCCUGAUGCAGCGACGCCGCGUGAGCGAUGAAGUAUUUCGGUAUGUAAAGCUCUAUCAGCAGGGAAGAAGAUGACGGUACCUGACUAAGAAGCCCCGGCUAACUACGUGCCAGCAGCCGCGGUAAUACGUAGGGGGCAAGCGUUAUCCGGAUUUACUGGGUGUAAAGGGGGCGCAGACGGCGAUGCAAGCCAGGAGUGAAAGCCCGGGGCCCAACCCCGGGACUGCUCUUGGAACUGCGUGGCUGGAGUGCAGGAGGGGCAGGCGGAAUUCCUGGUGUAGCGGUGAAAUGCGUAGAUAUCAGGAGGAACACCAGUGGCGAAGGCGGCCUGCUGGGCGUUAACUGACGCUGAGGCUCGAAAGUGUGGGUAGCAAACAGGAUUAGAUACCCUUGUAAUU